rnacentral:rRNA from 1 species
UGACCUCGGAUCAGGUGGGGAUACCCCGCUGAACUUAAGCAUAUCAAUAAGCGGAGGA